CGGCAGGCCUAACACAUGCAAGUCGAGGGGUAAGGUUCAGCUUGCUGAACACACGACCGGCGCACGGGUGAGUAUCGCGUUUGCAACCUACCCUUAACUGGAGCAUAGCUCCCGGAAACGGAAAUUAAUACUCCAUAACAUUCAGACAGGGCAUCCUGACUGAAUCAAAGCUCAGGCGGUUAAGGAUGGGCAUGCGUGACAUUAGCUUGUUGGUGAGGUAACGGCUCACCAAGGCAACGAUGUCUAGGGGUCUGAGAGGAUGAUCCCCCACACUGGUACUGAGACACGGACCAGACUCCUACGGGAGGCAGCAGUGAGGAAUAUUGGGCAAUGGACGCAAGUCUGACCCAGCCAUGCCGCGUGCAGGAUGACAGCCCUAUGGGUUGUAAACUGCUUUUGUACAGGAAGAAACACUCGAUCGUGAUCGUGCUUGACGGUACUGUACGAAUAAGCAUCGGCUAACUCCGUG
rnacentral:rRNA from 1 species